rnacentral:rRNA from 1 species
UAGGGAAUCUUCCGCAAUGGGCGAAAGCUUGACGGAGCAACGCCGCGUGAGUGAUGAAGGUCUUCGGAUCGUAAAACUCUGUUAUUAGGGAAGAACAAAUGUGUAAGUAACUAUGCACGUCUUGACGGUACCUAAUCAGAAAGCCACGGCUAACUACGUGCCAGCAGCCGCGGUAAUACGUAGGUGGCAAGCGUUAUCCGGAAUUAUUGGGCGUAAAGCGCGCGUAGGCGGUUUUUUAAGUCUGAUGUGAAAGCCCACGGCUCAACCGUGGAGGGUCAUUGGAAACUGGAAAACUUGAGUGCAGAAGAGGAAAGUGGAAUUCCAUGUGUAGCGGUGAAAUGCGCAGAGAUAUGGAGGAACACCAGUGGCGAAGGCGACUUUCUGGUCUGUAACUGACGCUGCUGUGCGAAAGCGUGGGGAUCAAACAGG